rnacentral:rRNA from 1 species
UACAGAGGUGGCAAGCGUUGUUCGGAAUUACUGGGCGUAAAGGGCGCGUAGGCGGCCCGUCAAGUCCCGUGUGAAAGCCCCCGGCUCAACCGGGGAACGGCGCGGGAAACUAGCAGGCUUGAGUUCGGGAGAGGGAAGCGGAAUUCCGGGUGUAGCGGUGAAAUGCGCAGAUAUCGGGAGGAACACCUAUGGCGAAGGCAGCUCGCUGGGACGUUACUGACGCUGAGACGCGAAAGCGUGGGGAGCAAACAGG